AAUCAGAACGAGACGUCUGGGUAGAGUGCUUGGGGCCGGCGUUGAACAUGCUGUCCCUCGCCCUGGAGAGGAACUGUGAUAACCCCGAGGUUUGGAGCCACUGCCUGUCCCUGAGGUGUAGGAGAUGUGUGGAGCACGCGCCCGACUACUAAGUCUGGAACUAUCUGAAGCUGAAGAGCUCCUUUGAGUCCACCUCAACCUGUUCACCGGACGCAUGGACAGCACUCUGGCUCUGUGGCAGAUGAGUGCAGAGUUUCUGGACCACAACGGAGAAGUUCCUUCACUCCAUUCUUGCCUUCUUCAUACUGUUCUCACUGUUUACACAUAGUAUUGUAUGCCAUGAAAAAAAUGAAUAAAAAAGUAAGUAAUAGUAGUAGUAUGUAUUAUGUCAAAAAAUCUCUGAAAAAGUCAUAACAUAGUUAUUACAUUGUAAUAACACUGUUAUAACAUGUAUUAUGUCAAAAAGUCGUACAGAAUGUCAAAAAGUGUUAUUACAUAGUUAUUACAUUGUAAUAACACUGUCAUAACAUGUGUUAUGUUUGAAAAUCUGUCAGAAAGUGUUAUUACACAGUGCCAUAAAAGUGGACGUAAAUCAUUUUUCGUCCACAAAAAAAAAGUUUUUUUUUCUUCAAAUUACAAUGUUUUCCUUUCUCCUAUUCUGGCCUCUUCCUUCUUCGGAGUUGUUCUACUCUGCUCUGAGCUGUCCUAUUCUGGCCUCUUCCUUUCUCUGACUUGUCCUACUUUUCUCUGAGCUGUCCUACUCUGGUCUCUUCCUUUCUCUGACUUGUCCUACUCUUCUCUGAGUUGUCCUACUCUGGUCUCUUCCU